AACGAACGCUGGCGGCAGGCUUAACACAUGCAAGUCGAACGAGAUCUUCGGAUCUAGUGGCAGACGGGUGAGGAACACGUUGGAACAUCCCUUUCAGUUCGGAAUAACGUUGGGAAACUAACGCUAAUACCGGUUACGUCCUUCGGGAGAAAGAUUUAUCGCUGAAAGCUUGGCACGCGUGUGAUUAGCUAGUUGGUGAGGUAACGGCUCACCAAGGCUACGAUCAGUAGCGGAUCUGAGAGGAUGAUCAGCCACAUUGGGACUGAGACACGGCCCAAACUCCUACGGGAGGCAGCAGUGGGGAAUAUUGGACAAUGGGGGCAAGCCUGAUCCAGCCAUGCCGCGUGAGUGAUGACGGCCUUCGGGUUGUAAAGCUCUUUUGUCCGGGAAGAUAAUGACUGUACCGGAAGAAUAAGCCCCGGCAAACUUCGUGCCAGCCGCCGCCGUAA
rnacentral:rRNA from 1 species